GUAUGUGAUUAUGAAAUCUCACUUGCUUCCAUACUCUUCGAGUCCCUAGGGUAUAGGCCUGCAGGGCUCCCACAACCAUAAGCAACCCUCCAGUUCAAGCAAGCAGUGCUGUGUUGUUGGAGAACAGAGCAAAUACCUGCUGGAUCCUCUCGUUGCUCAGUACAAUCAGGUCUUCACCUGUGGGAGCACAUGUAUUUAUAGCCUUGUCACAGAACAUCAUAAUUAGACAUGCCCAUAAGGCAGCUGCAACCCAUAACAUUGUCACAGCUCAGGGACUCCAUUAUUAGUACUGUGUCAUCAGAGGGUUAGGCUGCAAGCAGAUAACCCAUCUAAUACAGUAGUACUUCAGGGAAUUAGCCACGAUUCCAAUUUGGGGUGAUUAGUUUUUGAUCUGAUGCUAAUGCCAUGUUCUGCGUUGUUGCCCUGAAGACUAAAGUUGUCUUUUUCACUCCCAGAACAGGUGCAGUUUCCACAUCAACAAAAUCAAACCUGCUCAGGAGGAACCACUGCUAUUUGGUCUGUUUAAACUGCCAGUGUUCACUCUCCAUGAAUGGUUUUAUCGGUGGACUUGAAUGAGACUGCAAAGGGAGAGAAGGCAGCGGAGCUGGGAACAGCAAGCAGAUGCCCUGUGUCAGCGCAAGGAGCACAGCGAUGUCACCGUCGGCACACUGAAACAGGUAAUGGAGAUGUCAGCUGGGAAUGCAGCUGGGCUGAAAAAAAGGAGUUGUUAGGUGGGCAAGCGACAGGGGUGUUCUCCCAGCGUGCAGGCAGCAGCCCUCCUUUCUGGCUGGGGGGACAGCAUUGCUGCCUCCCGGUCACCAGAGUGUGUACACAGCUUUUGAUUCUAAAAUCAGAAACCAAAAUCCAAAUAAUUAAACCAGUGGAGUUAAUUUGGUCUGUGAUUCUGGAAGUGUAUUCAAGUAGGGUUUCUGUCGGGAGCUUCUCCAGGAGUUUACCCUCGCCCUGCGUGCCGCAUUGGUCCUGCAGAGCAGGCCAGCUGCACGUGAUGAACCACCUGCUCUUCCUAUUCCCUAGGGACAUGUUCAGCCACCAGCCUGGGCUGCUUGGAUGGGAUCUGUUACAAUCCCGGUUGGAGGAGCCACUUACAGAGGUAGAGCCCUGUUAG
rnacentral:lncRNA from 1 species